UGUUUAUCAAAAACAUAGCCUACUAUUUAACUUAGGUACAACCCUGCCCUCUGACUUUUAACAGCCGCGGUAUCCUAACCGUGCUAAGGUAGCAUAAUCACUUGCCUAUUAAUUAUAGGCUAGAAUGAACGGGAUCACUCACUUAAACUUAUUUUUAUUUAAAUUUAAAUUAAACUUUAAGUCAAAAUACUAAAUUAAAAAGAAAGACAAAAAGACCCUGAAAACUAUUAGAAAUAAUUAGUUGGGGCAACUAUAGACCACUCUAGCGUCUAUUUUUUUUAACUCUUAAAAUCUAAAGUAUCCAGUUACUUCAGGGAUAACAGACUAAUUUUAUUAUUUAGACCCAAUAAAUAAUAAAGAUUGGCACCUCGAUGUUGGCUUAUAUUUCCUUCAUAUAGCAACAUAUAUAGAAGGCAGCUUGUUCAUCUGUUAAAUAUUUACAUGA
rnacentral:rRNA from 1 species